ensembl:lncRNA
GGUUAAUCUAAAUGCAUAUAUAUAUCAUUGAGGUAAGGCGCUAGUCUGCUGUAUGUUGAAGUAGAUUUGUGGUAAUGUUAUCUACUUGCAUUAAAGGUCAUUCCAAAAGGACUUGUGGAGCGCUGCUCCUUCCAAAGCCCCCAGAAGUUCAUAAAUGAUCUCCUACAUGGGAUGUAUACCAGGGAAUAUAUGGCAGGCCAUUCAGUGACUGGCCAGUCAUCCAGCAGCUGCACAGAAGGAAAACCUGGCCUAGCCAAACAGGACCUUGUUGAAAUAACAAAUGCUGCAAAGUUGAAGUUCCCCUACGUAACUGAUACGAACAUAAAAGCAUUUAUACGACAAAAGCUGAACAAUGCU